rnacentral:rRNA from 1 species
AUUGAACGCUGGCGGCAUGCUUUACACAUGCCAGUCGAACGGCAGCGCGGGCUUCGGCCUGGCGGCGAGUGGCGAACGGGUGAGUAAUGCAUCGGAACGUGCCCAGUAGUGGGGGAUAGCCCGGCGAAAGCCGGAUUAAUACCGCAUACGACCUGAGGGUGAAAGCGGGGGACCGAAAGGCCUCGCGCUAUUGGAGCGGCCGAUGUCGGAUUAGCUAGUUGGUGGGGUAAAGGCUUACCAAGGCGACGAUCCGUAGCUGGUCUGAGAGGACGACCAGCCACACUGGGACUGAGACACGGCCCAGACUCCUACGGGAGGCAGCAGUGGGGAAUUUUGGACAAUGGGGGCAACCCUGAUCCAGCCAUGCCGCGUGCGGGAAGAAGGCCUUCGGGUUGUAAACCGCUUUUGUUCGGGGAGAAAUCCUCUGGGCUAAUACCCCGGGGGGAUGACGGUACCGGAAGAAUAAGCACCGGCUAACUACGUG